GCUGUAUACAAUAUCAGGAAAGUUGGGUAUGUCAUGUGAAACUGAUGCCGAUUGUGAUAUAAUAAUCCACGCCAAAUGUUCUAAAGAUAACAAAUGUGUUUGUCGGAAAAACAAUAUUCAGCUAAAUGAAACAACAUGUGCGCCACAGUUAGGAGAAUUUUGUUGGAAAAAUGAAAAGUGUGCAACAGAUAAUUCCGUUUGCAUCAAUAACGAAUGUCAAUGCCAAAAUAACUACUUCUUGGUAUCUAAUCGUUUUUGUCUACAAAAAAUAUUGGGAUCCUCGUGUGAUGAUGAUCUAGACUGUGAGCGAAUUAAAUAUUCAAAAUGUAAUGAAAAUAAAUUGUGUAAAUGUACAUCCAAUACAAUUGAAUUGACUCCGACAUUAUGUGCACCAAUUAUUGAUGGUUUCUGUUUAACAAAUAAAACGUGUGUCCCAGAUAACUCUAUUUGUAUUGAAAAUAAAUGUAAAUGCAAGCUUGAUUUUAAACCAUCAUUAUCUAAAACUAAUUGUACACCAAGUAAGCAAAUUACAAGUAUUAAUAUUGAUUAAUAUCAACAACUAAUGUGAGACAAAGCAAUUUUUUUAAUGUUUCAAUGCAGUAGCUUAUUUGGGUAUGAUUUGCAAAGACGAUACAGAUUGCCUCAGUUCGACCGAUCAUUCAAAGUGUUCUGAACGAAAUGUCUGUGCAUGUGAAUCGAAAUAUCACCCAGUAAGCAGAAACACAUGCGCGCCCAUAUUAAACAUGCCUUGCACUCACAAUGAACUUUGUGCUAUAGAUAAUUCAAUAUGUAUCGAUAAUACAUGUCAAUGCAAGCAAUACUACGUAUAUCGAGGCUUUAAAUGUGUACCAACUAUUCUAAAAGAAACAUGUGAAACAAAUACAGAUUGCAAUGAAAUAGAAUUUUCAAUAUGUUCAAAUAAUCAACGAUGUGUUUGUGGUGAUGAAUAUGUCCAAGCAACUAACACAACUUGUUUACCUAUUCUAAACGGAACUUGUUAU